UGCUUUAGAACAGCUUCGAGGUAUAGAGAUCGGAUGCGUAUUGACUGCCUUUCUCCAGCCAUUGUCCAGCAUGACACCUCUGGCACAGGUAGCAAGCAGAUGUAGUACAGAACAACCUGGAGAAAGCAAAUGUCAAAAAUAAAUUAGCAUGUGAACUAUUGGGGGGCGUUCUUUCUUCUGUGGUUAUCACAGGAAGAACUGAGGGUUUGAGAUCAACGUGUGUCAUUAUUUAUUUUUCCAUGUAAGCAUAUCUUGUCUUCUUUUCUUUAUCUGCCAGGUCAAUAAUAGUAGGAUAACUGAACUAGAGAUACUCUCAGCCCGUUAAUGUUCGCUUGGCAGGGAAAAAGGUAUACGUCGAUGAUACCUUGCUGACCCGCUGGAGGACGUUAUCACCGGCGCCGAAACAGUCGAUGACCGCGGAGAAGACGACGGUCAUGAGCGGGUCCCCCAUGCCGUUAACCAUGGCCGCCACAGUGCCGACGGCCAUCAGCGCCAAGUCGGAGCGGCUGGCGUACCUGAACAUGCCGAAGAAUGGAACCUUCCUAGCCCCCUCAGCCUUCCUCUCCCUCUCCUCCGUCUCUGCAUCCUCCCCUCUGCCUCUCUUAGCUUCGUCAUCCAUUAGGCUAUGUUGGGUGAUGUUUCUCCUCCUCCUAGCAGCUGCUGGUUAGCUACGUGUGCUUAGCUUAUCUCUCUCUUGGCAUGCUUGUGGUGAUGAGAGUUGGGCGCUAAUGUAUGUGAGGCAAGCGAGACUGACAGGACGUCGGUUAUAUUGUCUGCAUGCAUGCAUGGUUGCUAAAUAAAUAAACGGCCUGCUGAUUAUUCGUGUAACAGUGGCGGGACCACUGAUUUCAAAAGGUGCGUGCUCAAAGUUGUUGAGUGUUGGACAAUGUAAUCAUAUCAUAAUUUAGAAAGGAAAAAACUUACAAUA